AUUGAACGCUGGCGGCAUGCCUUACACAUGCAAGUCGAACGGCAGCACGGGUGCUUGCACCUGGUGGCGAGUGGCGAACGGGCGAGUAAUAUAUCGGAACGUACCUUAUUGUGGGGGAUAACGCAGCGAAAGCUGUGCUAAUACCGCAUAAUCCCUAAGGGGGAAAGCGGGGGACCGUAAGGCCUCGCGCAAUUAGAGCGGCCGAUACCUGAUUAGCUAGUUGGUGAGGUAAAGGCUCACCAAGGCAACGAUCAGUAGCUGGUCUGAGAGGACGAUCAGCCACACUGGGACUGGGACACGGCCCAGACUCCUACGGGAGGCAGCAGUGGGGAAUUUUGGACAAUGGGGGCAAUCCUGAUCCAGCAAUGCCGCGUGAGUGAAGAAGGCCUUCGUGUUGUAAAGCUCUUUUGUCAGGAAGAAACAGCAGCUCUAACACAGUUUGCGAAUGACGGUACCUGAAGAAUAAGCACCGGCUAACUACGUGCCAGCAGCCGCCGUAA
rnacentral:rRNA from 1 species